rnacentral:rRNA from 1 species
UUGAGUGGCGGACGGGUGAGUAACGCGUGGGUAACCUGCCCUGUACAGGGGGAUAACAGUUAGAAAUGACUGCUAAUACCGCAUAAGACCACGGCACCGCAUGGUGCAGGGGUAAAAACUCCGGUGGUACAGGAUGGACCCGCGUCUGAUUAGCUGGUUGGUGAGGUAACGGCUCACCAAGGCGACGAUCAGUAGCCGGCUUGAGAGAGUGAACGGCCACAUUGGGACUGAGACACGGCCCAAACUCCUACGGGAGGCAGCAUG